AUUUUGCAAAAUUAAUUCUACACAUAAUUAAAAUCCACCUCCUCGUGGGAUCGACACUCGUCACCAUUGAUCUAUACUACAAUAGAUUCGUGCGCUUGCGAGUACAUUAAAAUUUGCACAACAAGUUUUUGGCGCCGUUGCCGGGGAGGUAAGUAAUUUUAAUUCAUAGAUUUAAUUUUUGUGAAUAAUUUCAUUUAAUUGUUUUCUUGUAUUUUUUUUUGUUCUUUAAAAAUAAAAAAUAAAAAAGAAAUAAAAAAGUUAAUCUACAUUUAAAGGUUAGUAUUUCUUUUCUUUUUCUCUUCUUUAAAAUUCUGUAAUUUAAUUUUCAAUUUAUUUUUUCUUUGUAAUUUUUGUUUAUCUUAUUAAUUUAAUUUUUAGUUAAUUUAUUUCACGUAUUUAUUUUUGUGUAUUUUUAUAGUAAGGUUGUAAUAGCGCAAUAAGGUUAGUAUCGUAAUUUCUCCCUCUUAUUUAUUUUUAUUUGUUUUGUUCCCAUCUUUAUUUUUAUUUUUAUUUUGCAUGCAUGGUCGUAGGUCAUUAUUACCUAAUCUUGAACCUAUAGACCUUGAAUUAGAAAAAACACUUCGCACACAAAAGCACAUUAAAAAUAAAUUUGGAAUGGAUUUACAAGCACCACAGGAGAGGCCAUUUAAGGACUAUUUUAGUCCCUUAGCUAAUUUGAGCACAUCAUGCAUAAGAUACCCAAAUGUAGCUGCUAGGAGUUUUGAAUUAAAACCUAGUGUGCUAAAUUGUCUCCCCACAUUUUAUGGCUUAGAAAAUGAGGACCCAUAUAAUCAUCUGAAUGAUUUUCAUGCCAUUUGUCAAACUUUUAAAUAUGAAAAUUUUUCAGACGAUGAUGUUAAACUUAGAUUAUUCUCAUUUUCUUUAAAGGAUAGAGCUCGUUCAUGGUUAAAUACUUUGCCUGCUAAUAGCAUUGCAUCAUGGGAACAAAUGGUUACAAAAUUUCUAAAUAAAUAUUUCCCAGUGCAUAAAACCAAUUCUAUUCGCAGGGAAAUUUCAGAGUUUGCACAAAGAGAGGACGAGCAGUUUUUCGAAACGUGGGAGCGAUUCAAUGGGCUACUCUUGAAGUGUCCACAUCAUGGGUACGAAAAAUGACACCAAUGCCAAUACUUUUUGGAGGGAUUAUUGCCGAAUGUGCAAGAAUGGCUAAUGGCAACAAGUGGAGGAGAGCUAAUGUCAAAAAGCGCAACAGAGAUUUGGGAAUUCUUCCAGCGACAAGCGGAUAAUUCCCAACAACGGAGUCGAUCACUCAGGAAUACUAGAAGAAUUAAGGGAGUAAAUGAGGUUCAAAUUGACGAGUCAACUUCGGGAAUCAAAGAAGUCAAGGAGAUGGUUGAAGGUCUUGCUCGACAAAUAGCAUCGUUAUCGACUGCUAAAUCAACAGAACCACAUGACCAUGACUCAUACUUCGAUCAAGCCAAUGCCAUAGGUGUAAUGAGAAAGCCAUCUAAUUACAACCCAUACUCCAACACAUAUAACCCUAGAUGGAGAGACCACCCCAAUUUUUCAUGGUCUCAAGGAUUCCAACAGAAUGGACCAGCAGCUCCAGCUCCACAAAUUCCUCAAGUUCCUCAAGCCUCUCAGCCCCCAUUUAGACCAUUCAAUCAGAACCAGAACUACUCUCAACCCAGACCAUGGGAGGAUUCAUUCCAGAAUUUCAAGAAUGCUACUCACUCUACGAUUGAGCAACAGAACCGCACCAUUGAUGGACUACGAAAUGAGUUGAGAGCAGGCUUCAACUCACAAGCUCAAUCAGUUUCAAGCCUCGAGAAGAUGGUGGGACAACUUGCUUCUUCAGUUCAGACCUUGGCAAUGACUGUUGAGAAAGGAAAAUUUCCAAGUCAACCAGUGCCUAAUCCUAAAGGGGUACAUGAAGCAAGUACCAGUUCACCACAGCAGCAUGGAGAGGUCAAAGCAAUCAUGACCUUGCGAAAAGGAAAGGAAGUCGACAACAAAGUGGAGAUGCCGGUGACCAAAGAAAAUCAAAUUGUACCUGUGAAUGUUGAGGACUCACCACCGGAGGAGAAAGAAGAAACCAACCCACGAGAAUACAUUCCGAAAGCUCCAUUUCCUCAGAGGUUAGCGAAAGGAAAAAAGGGAAAAUCCACAGGUGAGAUUCUUGAAAUCUUCAAACAGGUAAGUGUUAACAUCCCUUUGCUUGAUGCUAUUAAACAAGUUACAUCUUAUGCCAAGUUUCUUAAAGACCUUUGUACUAAAAAGAGAAAUAUGCAUGUUCAAAAGAAGGCAUUUUUAACAGAAAACGUUAGUUCUAUACUCCAACAUAAAAUUCCUUUAAAAUGCAAAGUCCCAGGCUCCCCCACUAUCUCAUGUAGUAUAGGGAACCACACAAUUGAGAAUGCUUUGUUGGAUUUAGGAGCUAGUGUAAAUCUAUUGCCUUACUCAGUAUUUUUGAAACUUGGACUGGGAGAAUUACACCCAACUCCAGUGGUGUUACAGCUUGCAGAUCGGUCCACGAAAAUACCUCGUGGUAUUGUGGAGGACGUGCUUAUCCAGGUAGACAAGUUUUAUUUUCCUGUUGAUUUCAUUGUAAUUGACACUCAACCAAUACAGGACUCAAGGAAGCACAUCUCCAUUAUUCUAGGCCGACCUUUCUUGGCAACUGCAGAUGCUCAUAUUCAAUGUAGGACCGAAAAUAUGCAAUUGUCCUUCGGCAACAUGACUAUGGAGCUAAACAUCUUCAACAUUGCCAAACAACCUCACAGUGCAGAUGAUGGAAUUGUUGAUGUGGAUUUAAUAGAAACAAUAGUUGAUAACACUUUUGUUUCAAACCUUAGUGAUGAUCCUUUACAAACAUGUUUAACUCACUUUGGUUUGGAUUUUGAUAUUGACAGAUCGGUUGAUGAGGUCAACGCCCUGCUUAACUCAGCACCAUACAUGGACACUAAUAAAUGGAAGUCAAGAGUUGAGCAACUAGCACCAUUAGAGAAGAAACUCAUCCCAUCAUCAGAAUCACCACCGAAACUCGAGCUCAAACCAUUACCCAACACUUUGGAAUAUGCAUUUUUGGGAGAAGAAAGCACUCUGCCGGUAAUCAUCUCAUCAUCCCUAAAUGACGAACAAAAAGGUAAGUUGUUGGAUGUUUUAAAAGAGCACAAAGGAGCAUUAGGAUGGACCAUAGCAGACAUCAAAGGUAUAAAUCCAGUAGACUGCAUGCAUUACAUUCACCUUGAUGAAAAUGCUAAAUCUACUAGGGAAAUGCAACGUCGGUUAAAUCCUAAUAUGAAAGAAGUUGUUAGAACAGAAGUCCUUAAGCUAUUAGACGCAUGUAUCAUUUACCCAAUUUCUGAUAGUUCACGGGUCAGUCCUGUACAAGUUGUCCCCAAAAAGUCAGGAGUCACAGUAGUUACCAAUGCUGAUAAUGAAUUGAUACCAACUAGAGUAACUACAGGAUGGCGUGUAUGCAUUGAUUAUAGAAAGUUGAAUUCUGUCACACGUAAAGACCAUUUUCCUUUACCAUUUAUUGAUCAAAUGCUUGAUAGAUUAGCAGGCCAUGAAUUUUAUUGCUUUCUAGAUGGUUACUCAGGAUAUAAUCAAAUUCCCAUAGCACCAAAAGAUCAAGAGAAAACUACUUUCACUUGCCCUUUUGGCACUUUUACAUAUAGGAGAAUGCCAUUUGGAUUAUGUAAUGCACCUGCUACGUUUCAACGAUGCAUGUUGAGCAUUUUCUCUGAUAUGGUUGAACGAUUCCUUGAAGUCUUUAUGGAUGAUUUUUCUGUCUUUGGUGACUCGUUUGAUCAAUGUUUACAUCAUUUAACGCUAGUUUUGCAGAGAUGUACCGAGAAGAACUUAGUCUUGAAUUGGGAGAAGUGUCAUUUUAUGGUAAAACAAGGUAUUGUUCUCGGUCACAUCAUUUCAAGCAAAGGUAUUGAGGUUGACAAAGCCAAGGUGGAUCUCAUUUCUAAUCUUCCUCCACCCAAAACAGUCAGAGAAGUAAGAUCUUUCCUUGGACAUGCUAGUUUCUAUAGACGUUUCAUUAAAGAUUUUAGCAAAGUUUCUAGACCCUUAUGCAAUCUACUUGCUAAGGAUGUACCUUUUAUCUUUAAUGAUUCAUGUCUUGUGGCAUUUGAAAAAUUAAAGCAGUUGUUGACAUCAUCACCCAUCAUUCAGGCCCCAAACUGGAGCUUACCAUUUGAGCUCAUGUGUGAUGCAUCUGAUUAUGCAGUAGGAGCAGUAUUAGGACAAAGAGUUGAUCGAAUUCCCCAUGUUAUUUACUAUGCUAGUAUGACAUUGAAUGAUGCACAGUUGAACUAUUCAACUACUGAAAAAGAAAUGCUAGCAGUAGUGUUUGCAUUGGAAAAAUUUCGAUCUUAUCUCAUUGGUUGUAAAAUAAUUAUAUUCACAGAUCAUGCUGCUCUUAAAUAUCUUCUCACAAAGAAAGAUGCAAAAGCUAGACUAAUUCGUUGGGUGUUACUUUUGCAGGAAUUCGACUUGGAAUUCAAGGAUAAGAAAGGCACAGAAAAUGUUGUGGCGGACCACCUCUCUCGUCUCCAUUUUGACACAAUUACAGAGCCAUUAAUAUUAAAUGAGUCAUUUCCAGAUGAACAAUUAAUGAGUGUGGAAGUAUUACCUUGGUAUGCUGAUAUAGUUAAUUAUCUUGUUACAGGUAAGCUUCCAGAGCAUUGGACCAAGCAAGACAAGGCUAAAUUCUUUGCGGAAAUAAAGAAUUUCUUUUGGGAUGACCCGUAUUUGUUCAAGUAUUGUGCAGACCAAAUUGUUAGACGAUGUGUCCCAGAAAAUGAAAUUCAGAAUAUUCUUUCAUUCUGCCAUGAACAAGCUUGUGGAGGCCAUUUCAGUGCUAAGAAAACAGCGACUAAAGUUUUACAAUGUGGUUUCUAUUGGCCAACUAUAUUUCGAGAUGCUUACACUUUCUGUUCUUCAUGUGAUAGGUGUCAACGAAUGGGGAGCAUUACACGAAGAAACAUGAUGCCACUAAAUCCAAUUUUAGUGGUUGAGAUUUUUGACGUAUGGGGUAUCGACUUCAUGGGACCCUUUCCCCCUUCUUUUGGCCAUCAAUACAUAUUGGUUGGUGUUGACUACGUCUCGAAAUGGGUAGAAGCAAUUCCAUGUAGGACCAAUGAUCACAAAGUGGUGAUAGGAUUUUUGAAAAGCAACAUUGUUUCACGCUUUGGAUUCCCUCGAGCGAUAAUCAGUGAUGGUGGUGCCCACUUUUGUAACAAAGCAUUCAAAGCUCUUUUGACAAAGUAUUCAAUCACACACAAAGUGGCGACCCCGUAUCAUCCGCAAACCAGUGGCCAAGUUGAGAUCUCCAAUCGAGAAAUCAAGCACAUAUUAGAAAAAACGGUGAGGCCAGACAGAAAAGAUUGGUCAUUAAGACUUGAUGAUGCAUUAUGGGCAUAUAGAACGGCUUUCAAGACCCCGAUUGGGAUGUCACCCUACAGGCUAGUGUAUGGAAAAGCUUGCCACCUACCUGUGGAACUCGAGCAUCGUGCAUAUUGGGCCAUCAAGAAAUUCAACUUUGACAUGCAGCAAGCCAGCUCAGAAAGAAGAUUACAACUGGCAGAACUUGAAGAAAUUCGCAAUGAUGCAUAUGAAAAUGCCAAAAUUUACAAGCAGCGGAUGAAAGUCUUCCACGACAAGCACGUUAUGAGAAAAUCUUUCACUCCAGGUCAGAAAGUACUUUUAUUCAAUUCUCGCUUGCACCUAUUCCCAGGUAAGUUACGCUCUCGAUGGUCUGGUCCCUUUAUUGUUCAUACUGUUUUUCCACAUGGGGCAAUUGAAAUUAAAGACCCAAAGAACGGUGUCACGUUUAAAGUUAAUGGUCAAAGAUUAAAGCCAUAUCUAGAGUACCAACCACAUGGAGAAGACACCGAAAUAAAUUUGAGUGACCCACCAGAUUUGAAUUGAUUUUUUCUUUUCGUUGAUUUGAUUUUGUUUUCUUUCUUUAUAUUAUUCUUUUGCUAAUUGAAAUUAUUUUUGUAUAAGUGUGUUUGUUUAACUAUUAAGUUUUCUCUUAUCAUUUUUAAUCAUGAGUAUCUUACUUAGACCGUUCCUCCUGAACAUUCUUAAACCACUUCAACGUGUCAAAACUCAUCUCAAAAGGCAGAUUCUAUUUUGUAAAACACAACGCAUUUGGGCUCUACAACCACCAGAGUUAGUAGCCUAUGUUGAGGGUUUAGAACGCCAACUCAGAGACAUUGAGAGAAGUGUUUACGACAUCCAGUUGGAGCUUGAGGUAAAUUCAAUAAGAGGACGAUUUUAAUUUUCUUUGUGUGUUUUGAUUUGUUUUUUUUUUUUUGUGCUUUAGUUUGUUACCCCGGUGAAGUGGCGGAUAACAGUACUCCGUGACAAUCAAGUCGGUUACUUCAAUUUCCCAUAAUAACUGAUAUUCUGAGGCGAAGGUAUGGAUAGAAACGAGAUUUUAGCAAAGCUUCACAAGCGAUUCCCUUCACUUCCUCAGAAUGCCCUCCUUACAAUCUAUAAAGCCCGGUCUGAACGCAUGCGAUUGCUCAUGAGGAAUAACAUACCUGCAGACAUCCGUUGGUUAAUCGAGGCUAAAGUACGAUUGGUAGGUGAGUUACCUCCUAAAUUUAUUGCAUACAUGCCUGGUUGUGGUAAAGGAAAUUACGCAAGAAAACGACGAGCUCGAAGAAUUUCUGUUGCUUGUCACAAGUGUGCCAGAAUGAGUUGCGAUAGAAACCCAUGUUCUUUAGGAAUGGUGUCUGAUAACAGGGAAGAUAAGAUUCAAUUCAUUAGGGAUGGCUUGAAUAAGGAGUCAUUGGAUGAUAUCCUUUUGUCUCUUGAAACGCAUCCCAGUGGAUAUGUGCAAGGAGCGAUUCUCCGGUUAUGGCCAUUAUUCCAGAAAGAGCAUGCACGAUAUAGUCUCGGGAAUCUGACUAUAAACGACCCUGUUUGUCAGUUUAUAAGAAAACUGGAUGGGAAGCCGAUCCUCGACCCAUAGAGGGCGUUCAAGCCGUUUCUGGACGUAAAACCAGAGGAAGAUGUGAGCCACAGUCGCAACUACGUGUAAAUAUCCUUUUACUUUACUGUUAUUUUAUUUCAUUUCACUGUUGUUUUAUUGUUUGCAUUAUUGUCUUUAAUAAUUUUGUUACUAUUUGCUUUUUCCUUUUUACUGUUUCCUUUUUGACUCGCGAGCCACGUGCUUUACGCGUUAUUUGACACUAACAUGUUACCUCAUUCACAGCUGUGAUCCACUGUCACCAAGAUUCUUAAAUGUGAUUUAUCUUUUGUCAAGCACUCACAAAUUGUUUUUGAGAAGUAUCACAAUGGCAGCCACUCCCAAUAGACAAUUCAAGAACAUUUGUGUGCUUUCUGGAUUUACCUAUGGCAAACAUAAAGAGUUCGUGGAGGCAGCCAUAGAUCUUGGUCGAAGCAUAGCAGCGAGAAAAUUACACUUGGUGUAUGGAGGAGGUAACCGAGGAUUAUCAAUGGUCUCAGAAGCAGCUUUUAUCAGAGGAAGUCAAGUGUUAGGCAUCAUCCCAAGAGUCCUAAAACCAUUGGGCAGUUCGUCUGACUCAUCAACUGGAGAAGAGUUAGUCGUCUCAGGUAUGCAAGCAAGAAUAACUGAAAUGCUUAAUCAUGCUGAUGCUUUUAUUUUCCUUCCAGGAGAUCUUGCAACACUAGAGGCACUUAUGACACUAGCAUCUUGGGCCCAUCUGCACAUCCACCAGAAACCCAUCGGUUUGUUAAAUGUCAAUAACUUUUAUGAUGGCUUUAUCGUAUUUCUUAACCAUGCAAUAAAAAACUAUUUCAUUCCUUCUAAUGUGAAAAAACUCUUUAUUUGUGCUCACACUGCUAAUGAGCUACUUGAUAUGUUACAAGCUUAUAAACCGGAGCCAGACCCCUGGACCUUUGUGUUGGAGCGACCAAAUAAUGAUGGUAACAGUAGCCGCAGUAAGAAGUACAAAUUAGAUUUAACUCUCCGCCUGUAAAUAUUUUAUUCUGUGUUGCACCACCCAGGUGAUGUCUUCUAAACUCUACUUCUUUCCUUUAAAACAUUGAGGACAAUGUUUCGUUCUGGUUGGGGGGAGGGAAUAGUCGACAAUUGUGGAAUCUUGGUUAAGUUUUUACUGAUUUUUUGUUGUAGAAACUAACUGUUGCUAACGUUUUGUGUUGAAGAUGGCUGAAUAUGGAGUGUAGUUACUCUAGAAACGCAUCUUCUUAGUUAAAAAAAAAAAAAAAAAAUUAAUUUUCUACAUCAUUUUCACAUUUCUGCAUGCAUAUUUUCCUUUCAUGUUUAGAAUAGGUUGGGGGGUAGAAUGUUGUUAAAAAAAAAAAAAAUUUUGUGUUAUUUGUUUUAACAUUGGAUGACAUGAUUAAUUUCAAAUUUUAGUAUUUGUAUUAUCUUUGGUCUUAAGUGAUGUUACGCUAUGUUUGCUACUUUACAUGUUGAUGUCGGAGACAAAUAUGAGUUGCUUGAAGGAAUGAACAUGUCAUAAAUAAGUGCCAAGUGAGUUGUUGAGCCUAUCAUUUUCUUGGAGAGUAACCCUUUUGCCCAUUUUCUAUACAGCUUAGCAGUUUAUUAUUUUAUGCACGAUCUCUAGAUUUCUUUUGAGUUAACCCUUUAAAAAAAAAUGGUAAAAUUAAAAAAAAAGAAAAAAGAAAAAAUGUGUGUUACUACAUUGGGAGGCCCAUCUAACUAGUAGAUAUGAAUAAUUAUUUAGAGCCCUAAAAGACGAUGGAAAGGCCAUCUUUGAACCAUUUGAGCCUUUCUAGCCAUCCCUGUUAUUAAAUAUCCAUAGUUACCCAUUUUGAGCCUUUAAAAAAAAAAAAAAAAAAAAAAACCUUUUCUUUGUCAACUUAUCAUCUUGACCCACUCCGAUUUGGAGUAUUACCCGAUGUCUUAUAAGUUCCAUCACCUAUUUAUGUUUGAGAAAAUGUAAAUAAUUAUGUUGUUCAGUGAAGUUAUGCCAAAUAAAAGUAAAAAACAAAAAAACAAAAAAACAAAAGUUGUUGUUUCAAAAGAAUAAAAAUAACAACAAUAGGUGAAAUACACCUUGCAACUUCAAAAAAAAAAAAAAAAAUUUCUCUUCAUUUUUCUCAAACAUACACUUUGUUUUCCUUAUUUCCUUUCUUUGUUAGCCAUAUCCCUAGCCUACGUUACGUCCUAAUAAAAGUCCUUCUUGAUUUUAGGGAACUAUAGUUUGAAGUAGAAGCUAGUUAUAUGGGCUAAAAAGAUGUAGUGAUGCAUAAUAAAAAAAAAAAAAGAUAAAUAAAGUGGGUUGACUAACAUUUUAUUUGACUUGAGAUCGUAUUAUUUCUAAGCUGAGGGCAUAUUUAUUUCAUCUUGGUGAGAGCAUGUGAUAUCAUUUCUUUAUUAUUUUCUCUCUCAAUUACCAUUCAUUGGAGUGACUAUGUUUAUUGGGUUUUAAUUUCUUUGUGAGAGUGUCACUACUUCCAGUGAGAUUUUAGGGUUUGAUAUGUCAUUCUUGAAAGUAGCUAUAACCAAGUCUGCUGGGCUAAUUCAUGUGGAUGGUUGAUGUGGGUGUGAUGUUGCUUUAGACUGGAGAUAAUGCUUAUACUUUUAUUCGAUUACUAUCAUUAAUCUGAUUGAAUAAACACGAGUGUUUCUAAAAAAAAAAAAAAAAAAAUUUUGAAUUUGAAUUUUUUUUUCGCUUUAUUUGCUAGGGACUAGCAAUAAGCUGGUUGGGGGGUGUGUUGAGUGUUAGAAAAUGCAUAUUUAUAAAGGAGAAAACCGUCAUUUUACAUUUCAAGUCUUAUUAACAACCCUUACUUUUAUGUAUUUAACCUUCUUGUGAUUUAAUUACAUGUGUUUUAUUUUAAUUAAGUAUUUUAUGUAUUUUAGGGGCAUUAUAGUCAUUUCACAAUAAAGGAGAGAUCAGACGGCAAAACAGACAUCACUUUUGAACUCAGGACGGUCGAAAACCUUAGGAGGAGCAUAAAAGGAAAAAUGGCACUAUUCACAUGUACGGUACUAUUCACGGGUACGGUACUGUCUACGUUACUGUUCACGACACUGUUC
rnacentral:lncRNA from 1 species